rnacentral:rRNA from 1 species
UACGUAGGGAGCAAGCGUUGUCCGGAUUCAUUGGGCGUAAAGAGCUCGUAGGCGGCUUGAUAAGUCGGAUGUGAAACCUCCAGGCUCAACCUGGAGUCGCCAUCCGAUACUGUCAUGGCUAGAGUCCGGUAGGGGCCCACGGAACUCCUGGUGUAGCGGUGAAAUGCGUAGAUAUCUGGAGGAACACCGGUGGCGAAGGCGGCAUUCUGGACCGACAUUGACGCUGAGGAGCGAAAGCCAGGGGAGCAAACGGG